UACGUAGGUGGCGAGCGUUGUCCGGAAUUACUGGGUGUAAAGCGCGCGUAGGCGGUAGGCCAAGUCUGCUGUGAAAUCGCCCGGCUCAACUGGGCGCGGUCGGUGGAAACUGGUCAACUGGAGGACGGUAGAGGCGAGUGGAAUUCCCGGUGUAGUGGUGAAAUGCGUAGAGAUCGGGGAGAACACCAGUGGCGAAGGCGGCUCGCUGGGACGUUAC
rnacentral:rRNA from 1 species